ACGAACGCUGGCGGCGUGCUUAACACAUGCCAGUCGAACGGAAAGGCCCCUUUGGGGGUACUCGAGUGGCGAACGGGUGAGUAACACGUGAGUAACCUGCCCUUGACUUCGGGAUAACUUCAGGAAACUGGGGCUAAUACCGGAUAGGAAUCCUUGCUGCAUGGUGGGGGUUGGAAAGCUUCGGCGGUUUUGGAUGGACUCGCGGCUUAUCAGCUUGUUGGUGGGGUAGUGGCUUACCAAGGCUUUGACGGGUAGCCGGCCUGAGAGGGCGACCGGCCUCAUUGGGACUGAGAUACGGCCCAGACUCCUACGGGAGGCAGCAGUGGGGAAUAUUGCACAAUGGGCGGAAGCCUGAUGCAGCAACGCCGCGUGCGGGAUGACGGCCUUCGGGUUGUAAACCGCUUUCAGCAGGGGCGAAGCUUGUGGUGACGGUACCUGCAGAAGAAGCACCGGCUAACUACGUG
rnacentral:rRNA from 1 species